ACGACUCUCGGCAACGGAUAUCUCGGCUCUCGCAUCGAUGAAGAACGUAGCGAAGUGCGAUACCUGGUGUGAAUUGCAGAAUCCCGCGAACCAUCGAGUCUUUGAACGCAAGUUGCGCCCGAGGCCACUCGGCCGAGGGCACGCCUGCCCGGGCGUCACGC
rnacentral:rRNA from 1 species